GGACCCCGUGCAAGGAAUCGUCGGUGCAAUGCAUCCCCGCAUCACAAUGCCCGAAAGUUAACAGUAGCUACAGCCCGCCAGCAGAACACCCAAAAAUGCAGAGACACCCAGCGGGACCACCACUACAAGGGGCAAACAAGGGGCAACAGCGACGCAUCACGACUGCACCGGAAAAGGAUAAAGCAGAACUCGGGGGAAGUCACCUACACAGGCACCUCAGGACACACUACCACCACCUACACACAGCGCUCCAAGGGGGUGGCGCUUGCAUCAGCCAGAGCUUUGCUCGGCUCACCCGAGCCACCAUCUGCAAUUCAACUUGGCCCACCGUGCCGAGGGCCACGGGGCAGACCCAGAAGUGAUGCGACACGACUUGACCUGCCAGACCUCGUUGUCUUGGAAUCCUGGUUCCUGUAGUGAGCCUCCGUUACAUCUCUUUGUGUUUUCAUGAGUGACCGCUGCAUUGCUCGAUUGCGUUCGGUUCCGGAUGGUUCCACUUGUUCUUAACUUUUUGUUCACCGUAUUCUUGAUGAAUUUCGUAAAGCUUUUCAGGAGUUCGUUUUGGUUCGGCUAAUGCCACCACAACAAAGUCUACUUUGACGAGCGGAGCCCCUUGUCCUAUUAUUAUAUGGACGCUUUUUUUACGAGGAAUGGAAAGUGCAUUGCUACAUGGCCAUACAGAGUGGCUGCUCGCGCAAAGUUAAUUCCACAAAGUGCGUCCUGAGACGCUCGAGCGAUCCGAAAAAGGUUCAUACGAAGGUCCUCUGAUGAAAUGUCGAGCGAGCCAACCAAAAUUUGUGAGUUGCCAGGUCAAACCGCGCGCGUCCGCUUUAGGUCGCCCAGCUGGACGAGCGUGUACGGCGCCCGGUCCGCCGGCACCCGAU
rnacentral:lncRNA from 1 species